UUGCUGUGCUGGAAAAUCGAUUUUGAUAUUACACCCUAUUGCCCCACCCUGUGCACGCUAGUGAUCAAAGUUACCCCGGUUUUUAUAAUUGCUAUUUUCAUUGAAACUUUUUUUUAAAGAACCAUUGAAAACAAUUUUUUGAAGAGAAUGGACAUUGUGUGGCCUACACCAGUACAUGUUUUAAACAUAUAAAUCUUGAGACAAGUCUAUCAAUGUCAUCCUGGUUUACGGCCUAUGAUGUUGACAUGAACUGAUAUGCUCGGAAAAGGGAAAUUUUCUCACAUAAAAUCGUUUGGAAAAUGUUCUUGUCUUUGGAUGCUCGAGUUUUCUUUCAAUCGAGCUCAUAUUCUGCAUGGACAUCGAAAAUUAAAAUUUCAACCACAACCAUGUUUCAGUCACGUUUUUUUGGCUUUGUGAGGAAUUUGUGUGGUUUGGAAAAAAAGUUUAAUUAGGAACUGUUAAAACAUUGCAAUCACCAAUUAGGCCAUUUGUUCUUUCCGUACAACACUGCUCCAGAAACAAUCGGCUUCGGGUAUUUUUUUAGCUCCAUUCUCGGCGCAUGCUCACAAAUAGAACCUGUGAGAUUGUUCUGGCUCGGAAUCUUCCGAAGCAUCACGACUAAAGUAGGUUCAUUAGUCGCUCUUUCGACGUUACAGCAGCAGUCGGUGGAGAUGUUACUCCAGAUUCAAGUACGUUCCAAGUGGAUGCGGUGCGGUGUGUGAUUUUGUACUUUUUCACUUGAACCGUUUUCAAACGGUUUCAACGGUUUGAAGUGUGUAAAUGUACACAUUUGCUAUCAUCAAGUGCGGAAAGAUCGCGAUAUAGAUUGCGCCAGUACCCUUAUUGUAAAAAUUGCAUUUCAUCCAAUCGCUUCAAAUGGUAUUCGAUGAUAAUACGUCAGUGUAUUUUUUCCGUUCGUUUUUUCGUAUCGUAUUUCGUUUUUUGUCUAUAAAUGAAACACUGAAGAAAAUUGUGAGGUCUGUAUACCCAAAACUGUAAAAUGCAGCUGCAUUCUGGCAUGUAUUUUGUACAGCAUUGAAAUUGGGCUAUUUUGGUGGAACGGUAUCGUUAAAAUUCCAAGUGCAGUGGGGUCAGUGUUAGUGAGAGCUUGUAAAGUAAUUGAAAUAAUUUCAUGAAAGUGAUACAGUUAUAGGAAAUACACAGUGAAAAAUGUUUUCAUGCAUAAAUGUGCCAAAUUAAUUUGCAUAGUUCCAACUUUAGAUUGGUGUAAAUCUUGUCCAUUGUUGUUAGCCCCGUCUGCUUAAACGCGUUCCUCGAGAGUGCGGAGGUGCAAUUCCAGCAGUUUGUUUGUUUUGAGUAGCAUAUAGAUUGAUUUUCAUUUAUUUGACCAUUACAACGGUAUUGUUCUGCAACAUCUCAGAAUAGAUUGAUAUUCAUCAUAAGGCAAGAAAAAUGAUAAUGUCUGAGGAUAGGUUUUACAAUGGACAAAAUGAGACAACAGGAUUCUUAUAUACGAAGGUGCAUCUGAUGUUUUUUUAAGGAUUCUUGGAUGCGCAAGUGGCCAAAACACCCGGACUCUUCAUCCAAACCGGUCCGGAAACAAACUCACCAAAACAAACGACGACGAUAACACGAAAUCUGCGACGAUUCCUGGAAGUAAACACCCGGACACACUGGCAAAUUCUCCCAAACCGAUCCGGAAGAAGCACCAACACAAACUCACCAAAACACACAACGACGACGGCACAGAAUCUGCGACGAUUGUUUGACGCACGAGCGACCAAAACUCCCAGACACACGACGAUUGAAUCACGAUCCGACAGGCUUCUGCCAACCACUUUUCAAAACUUUGCGUUUGACAGUUGUCAAAGUCCCUGGGUCAAAAGAUGAUUGAAUAUUGUACCUAAAUUUGAUGAAUAUUACUCAAGUAUACGAGUAGUAAAAAUAAUGUUGAAUAUCCAUCAAAAAUUAGGUAAUAUUACACAUUUUUUGUGUAAAACCUGUUUGACAAAAAAAAAUCGUUAUUCAACAAUUAUAGAGGUAAAAUUCAUCAUUCUUUUUUUCAACAUUCUUUUUUCAAC